GGGUUGUGAGGUUAAGCGACUAAGCGUACACGGUGGAUGCCCUGGCAGUCAGAGGCGAUGAAGGACGUGCUAAUCUGCGAAAAGCGUCGGUAAGGUGAUAUGAACCGUUAUAACCGGCGAUGUCCGAAUGGGGAAACCCAGUGUGAUUCGUCACACUAUCGUUAACUGAAUACAUAGGUUAACGAGGCGAACCGGGGGAACUGAAACAUCUAAGUACCCCGAGGAAAAGAAAUCAACCGAGAUUCCCCCAGUAGCGGCGAGCGAACGGGGAGCAGCCCAGAGUCUGAAUCAGCUUGUGUGUUAGUGGAACGGUCUGGAAAGUCCGACGGUACAGGGUGAUAGUCCCGUACACCAAAAUGCACAGGCUGUGAACUCGAAGAGUAGGGCGGGACACGUGGUAUCCUGUCUGAAUAUGGGGGGACCAUCCUCCAAGGCUAAAUACUCCUGACUGACCGAUAGUGAACCAGUACCGUGAGGGAAAGGCGAAAAGAACCCCGGCGAGGGGAGUGAAAAAGAACCUGAAACCGUGUACGUACAAGCAGUGGGAGCACCUUUAUGGUGUGACUGCGUACCUUUUGUAUAAUGGGUCAGCGACUUAUAUUCUGUAGCAAGGUUAACCGUAUAGGGGAGCCGCAGGGAAACCGAGUCUUAACUGGGCGUUAAGUUGCAGGGUAUAGACCCGAAACCCGGUGAUCUAGCCAUGGGCAGGUUGAAGGUUGGGUAACACUAACUGGAGGACCGAACCGACUAAUGUUGAAAAAUUAGCGGAUGACUUGUGGCUGGGGGUGAAAGGCCAAUCAAACCGGGAGAUAGCUGGUUCUCCCCGAAAGCUAUUUAGGUAGCGCCUCGUGAACUCAUCUUCGGGGGUAGAGCACUGUUUCGGCUAGGGGGUCAUCCCGACUUACCAACCCGAUGCAAACUACGAAUACCGAAGAAUGUUAUCACGGGAGACACACGGCGGGUGCUAACGUCCGUCGUGAAGAGGGAAACAACCCAGACCGCCAGCUAAGGUCCCAAAGUCAUGGUUAAGUGGGAAACGAUGUGGGAAGGCACAGACAGCCAGGAUGUUGGCUUAGAAGCAGCCAUCAUUUAAAGAAAGCGUAAUAGCUCACUGGUCGAGUCGGCCUGCGCGGAAGAUGUAACGGGGCUAAACCAUGCACCGAAGCUGCGGCAGCGACGCUUAUGCGUUGUUGGGUAGGGGAGCGUUCUGUAAGCCUGCGAAGGUGGCCUGUGAGGGUUGCUGGAGGUAUCAGAAGUGCGAAUGCUGACAUAAGUAACGAUAAAGCGGGUGAAAAGCCCGCUCGCCGGAAGACCAAGGGUUCCUGUCCAACGUUAAUCGGGGCAGGGUGAGUCGACCCCUAAGGCGAGGCCGAAAGGCGUAGUCGAUGGGAAACAGGUUAAUAUUCCUGUACUUGGUGUUACUGCGAAGGGGGGACGGAGAAGGCUAUGUUAGCCGGGCGACGGUUGUCCCGGUUUAAGCAUGUAGGCUGGUUAUCCAGGCAAAUCCGGAUAAUCAAGGCUGAGGUGUGAUGACGAGGCACUACGGUGCUGAAGUAACAAAUGCCCUGCUUCCAGGAAAAGCCUCUAAGCAUCAGGUAACAUCAAAUCGUACCCCAAACCGACACAGGUGGUCAGGUAGAGAAUACCAAGGCGCUUGAGAGAACUCGGGUGAAGGAACUAGGCAAAAUGGUGCCGUAACUUCGGGAGAAGGCACGCUGGUGUGUAGGUGAAGUCCCUGCGGAUGGAGCUGAGACCAGUCGAAGAUACCAGCUGGCUGCAACUGUUUAUUAAAAACACAGCACUGUGCAAACACGAAAGUGGACGUAUACGGUGUGACGCCUGCCCGGUGCCGGAAGGUUAAUUGAUGGGGUUAUCCGUAAGGAGAAGCUCUUGAUCGAAGCCCCGGUAAACGGCGGCCGUAACUAUAACGGUCCUAAGGUAGCGAAAUUCCUUGUCGGGUAAGUUCCGACCUGCACGAAUGGCGUAAUGAUGGCCAGGCUGUCUCCACCCGAGACUCAGUGAAAUUGAACUCGCUGUGAAGAUGCAGUGUACCCGCGGCAAGACGGAAAGACCCCGUGAACCUUUACUAUAGCUUGACACUGAACAUUGAGCCUUGAUGUGUAGGAUAGGUGGGAGGCUUUGAAGCGUGGACGCCAGUCUGCGUGGAGCCAACCUUGAAAUACCACCCUUUAAUGUUUGAUGUUCUAACGUUGGCCCCUUACCGGGGUUGCGGACAGUGUCUGGUGGGUAGUUUGACUGGGGCGGUCUCCUCCCAAAGCGUAACGGAGGAGCACGAAGGUUAGCUAAUCCUGGUCGGACAUCAGGAGGUUAGUGCAAUGGCAUAAGCUAGCUUGACUGCGAGCGUGACGGCGCGAGCAGGUGCGAAAGCAGGUCAUAGUGAUCCGGUGGUUCUGAAUGGAAGGGCCAUCGCUCAACGGAUAAAAGGUACUCCGGGGAUAACAGGCUGAUACCGCCCAAGAGUUCAUAUCGACGGCGGUGUUUGGCACCUCGAUGUCGGCUCAUCACAUCCUGGGGCUGAAGUAGGUCCCAAGGGUAUGGCUGUUCGCCAUUUAAAGUGGUACGCGAGCUGGGUUUAGAACGUCGUGAGACAGUUCGGUCCCUAUCUGCCGUGGGCGCUGGAGAAUUGAGGGGGGCUGCUCCUAGUACGAGAGGACCGGAGUGGACGCAUCACUGGUGUUCGGGUUGUCAUGCCAAUGGCACUGCCCGGUAGCUAAAUGCGGAAGAGAUAAGUGCUGAAAGCAUCUAAGCACGAAACUUGCCCCGAGAUGAGUUCUCCCUGAGACUUUAAGUCUCCUGAAGGAACGUUGAAGACGACGACGUUGAUAGGCCGGGUGUGUAAGCGCAGCGAUGCGUUGAGCUAACCGGUACUAAUGAACCGUGAGGCUUAACCUUACAACGCCGAAG
rnacentral:rRNA from 1 species